GACAGCGGAAUGAUAGCCGGGCUGAAGACUCUGCUUGACUAGCUGAGAGGAGGUGCAUGGCCGUCGUCAGUUCGUACUGUGAAGCAUCCUGUUAAGUCAGGCAACGAGCGAGACCCACGCCAACAGUUGCCAGCAUGCCUCCGGGAUGGUGGGGACACUGUUGGGACCGCCUCUGCUAAAGAGGAGGAAGGAAUGGGCAACGGUAGGUCAGCAUGCCCCGAAUUAUCUGGGCUACACGCGGGCUACAAUGGGUGGGACAAUGGGUAUCGACACCGAAAGGUGAAGGCAAUCUCCUAAACCCAUCCGUAGUUCGGAUUGUGGGCUGCAACUCGCCCACAUGAAGCUGGAAUCUGUAGUAAUCGUGUCUCAAAUGGCACGGUGAAUAUGUCCCUGCUCCUU
rnacentral:rRNA from 1 species